rnacentral:rRNA from 1 species
GCGGCAGGCUUAACACAUGCAAGUCGAGGGGUAACAGGGAUUGCUUGCAAUCCGCUGACGACCGGCGCACGGGUGCGUAACGCGUAUGCAACCUACCUUCUACAGGGGGAUAGUCAAUAGAAAUGUUGAAUAAUACCCCAUACGAUCUUUGAAUAGCAUUAUUUAAAGAAGAAAGUUCCGGCGGUAGAAGAUGGGCAUGCGUCCUAUUAGUUAGUUGGAGAGGUAACGGCUCCCCAAGACAUCGAUAGGUAGGGGUCCUGAGAGGGAGACCCCCCACACUGGUACUGAGACACGGACCAGACUCCUACGGGAGGCAGCAGUGAGGAAUAUUGGACAAUGGAGGCAACUCUGAUCCAGCCAUGCCGCGUGCAGGAAGACUGCCCUAUGGGUUGUAAACUGCUUUUAUACAGGAAGAAAUGUACCUACGUGUAGGUAUUUGACGGUACUGUACGAAUAAGGAUCGGCUAACUCCGUGCCAGCAGCCGCGGUAAUACGGAGGAUCCAAGCGUUAUCCGGAAUCAUUGGGUUUAAAGGGUCCGUAGGCGGUCUUUUAAGUCAGAGGUGAAAUCCUACAGCUCAACUGUAGAAUUGCCUUUGAUACUGAAGGACUUGAGUUAUUGUGAAGUAGUUAGAAUGUGUGGUGUAGCGGUGAAAUGCAUAGAGAUCACACAGAAUACCGAUUGCGAAGGCAGAUUACUAACAAUAUACUGACGCUGAGGGACGAAAGCGUGGGUAGCGAACAGGAUUAGAUACCCUGGUAGUCCACGCCGUAAACGAUGGAUACUAGCUGUUCGACCAACAUUGGUUGGUUGAGUGGCUAAGCGAAAGUGAUAAGUAUCCCACCU